rnacentral:rRNA from 1 species
CAAUAGCGUAUAUUUAAGUUGUUGCAGUUAAAAAGCUCGUAGUUGGAUUUCGGGUGGGACGCAGCGGUCUCGCAUUGCGUUUGUACUGCUGCAGCCCUCCUUCUUGCCGGGGGCGGCCUCUCGGACUUCACUGUCUGGGGGUCAGACUCGGCGAUGUUACUUUGAGUAAAUUAGAGUGUUCAAAGCAAGCUUACGCUCUGAAUAUAAUAGCAUGGGAUAACACGACAGGACUCUGGCCUAUCGUGUUGGUCUAUAGGACCAGAGUAAUGAUUAAGAGGGACAGUCGGGGGCAUUCGUAUUCCGUUGUCAGAGGUGAAAUUCUUGGAUUUACGGAAGACGAACAUCUGCGAAAGCAUUUGCCAAGGAUGUUUUCAUUG